CUGAAAGAACUCACUGCUCCCUGAUAUUUUUCCCUUCUCUUCCUUAUGCUGUUUCACCCUAAGAAGUGGAUCCUUGACAAGUUUCGCUUAGACAUCAUGGAGAUGGUACUCUACAAGCAUCCCACACAGGGCCUUUACGUGGAUGAUACCGCAUGUCAGGAGGCUUCCCUGAGGAAUGAUGUUUAAUCCAAGACCUGAAAGAGGAGUGGGGA